rnacentral:rRNA from 1 species
CGGCGGACGGGUGAGUAACGCGUGGGUAACCUGCCUCAUACAGGGGGAUAACAGUUGGAAACGGCUGCUAAUACCGCAUAAGACCACAGUACCGCAUGGUACAGUGAUCAAAGGAUUUAUUCGCUGAAGGAUGGCUUCGCGUCCGAUUAGGUAGUUGGUGAGGUAACGGCCCACCAAGCCUACGAUCGGUAGCCGGACUGAGAGGUUGAUCGGCCACAUUGGGACUGAGACACGGCCCAGACUCCUACGGGAGGCAGCAUG